AUGGGUGCACAGGCCCUGAGCUGGUCCAUGGCACAGAGCAGAAUAGCACCCUCUAAGCCUAGUUCUGCUAUCAGAGCACUGAAAAGGAGGUCUCGGAUUCGUUUUAAAUGUGUGCAGAGAAGAGGCCUGCAUAGCUACACCCAGAGGAUGAGAAGGAAGCAAGCCCAAGUGUGUUUGUAUUGGCUACUGAUGUUCUGCCAAGUCCAUCAGACAGAACUGUUUAACAAUAAGGGCUUUUUUUUUCGUGAGCUCUCAUCUCGUGUGAGUGUUUGUCUUGAAUUUCAAAGCACUCGAGUACUAUUUGUACUGAAUAUUUUUACAGAAACAAUGCAAAAGGGGUUUUCAAUUUGCAUCUGAAUGAUUCAUAGAUUCCAAGGCCAGAAGGGACCACUGUGAUCAUCUAGUAAGCGCUCCUGUGUCUCACAAGCCAGAAAACUUCCCUCAAAUAAUUCCUUGAGUACCAGCUUAGAAACACGUCCAAUCUUGAUUUUACAAUUCCCGGUGCCAGGAAAUCCAUGUUCCAAGGGUUAAUUACUCUCACUGUUAAAAAUUACACCUUAUUUCCAACGUGAAUUUAUCGAGCGUCAACUUCGGCCAUUGGCUCGUGUUACACCUUUCUCUGAUAGAGUGAAGAGCCCAUUAUUAAAUAUUUAUUCCCCAUGUAGGUACUGAUAGACUGUAAUCAAGUCACCCCUUAGCCUUCACUUUGUUAAGCUAAAUAGAUUGAGCUCCUCGGGUAUGUCUACAUAGCAACUAGACAUCCACAGCUGGCCUAUGCCAGCCGAACCAGGGUCGUGAGGCUGUUUCAUUGCCAUGUAGACUUCCAGGUUUCGGCUGCAGCCCGAGCUCUGGGACCCUCCUGCCUUGCAGGGUCCUAGAGCCCAGGCUCCAGCCCGAACUGGGAAGUCUACACAGCAGUGAAAAAGUCCCACAGCCCGAGCCCCAUGAGCCCAAGUGAGCUGCCAUGGGCUAGCCACAGGUGUCUAGUUGCUGUGUAGACGUACCCUUUGAGUCUAUCACUAUAAGGCACGUUUCUAGGCUUUUA
rnacentral:lncRNA from 1 species